GAGACCCGUAUUGGUUUUAAAAUUGGUCAAUGAGCUGAAAUUUUGCAUGCUGGAUUAUGGGAACAUUUUUGCCGAUUACGAAUAGUAGUUGGUGCAGGUCGUCUGACUAAAAUUUAGAAGCUGACACUGACCCUGACUCGGGCUAAAUAAAGGCUGCACGCUGCAGAUUUCAAAUUUAAUUCUCGAAAUAGUAGCCUCGAGAUUUUUUGCUUAAAAAAUCAAGCUAAAAAUUAAGAUGAUUUCAUCUUUAAGAAUCAAGUCUCUAUGUCUGCCCUUUCAAAAGUUAUUAAAGGUCAAAGUCGUUGGUACACAGGCCCAGGGGACGUGUACCAACGAUUAAAAAAAUAAUUAUUUUAUUUGUAACUCCACCAUUUGUCGCAACCGUUAAAAGAGCCAAGAGUUACCUAGAUACUAAAUGUCAAGCAAUCGUGGUUGUCAAGCAAUAUUGGCCCCUACCGUUGUCAGGCGAACAGUCUGGUCACUAAACAAUUCAUGAUUUGAAGAUGGCUUUAUAAAAAACUGCAUUUUUGGCGAGGGUGCAUAAAAACCGGACCAACUCGUCUUCAUCAUGCCUCCCCCACCCAAAAAGAAAAAGAAGGGGAAACGGAAGAAGAAGCAACCCCGUUGUCCCAUUAAACGACGAAAGAAGCCCCUGAAACGAAAAUGUUCCGACGUAUUGGAUCCAACUGCAGUAUUAAACUCGUACUUUGUCUGCCACGGACUCACAGAUAUGUUAAAAUUCCGGAAAUUCACCUGGAAGAAGAAAAAGAAGGGGACUUGAUCCUAUUGGGAGGGACGCUAUGUAAACAUUUGACAUUUUCAAGGAGCAACAACACCAAAUUAUCAGUACUAAGGAACUUUGUUAACCGAAUGUGAGACCACCUUAAUAAAUGCAUAGCAAGUACACAUAUCAUGAUCGUCAUUUUUAGCAUCUACAAAAAAGAUUUCCUGUUUAUUGAGUCUCCAUAUUGUAAUAUUAAUUGCAGUAAUUUCAAAAUCUCUCUUAAAAUGUGCUUCAUAUAAUAACUUUACCAGUUUUGUCUCUUAUACAGACACAUCAUAUACAGAGUAGACUUUAGAUUACAAUAAUGCUUAAAUCUAGAGUUAGUUUAUUAUUACUAUGUUUUCUUUCUUCCACCACCACAAGUUUUGGUUUUUGUUAUUCGUUUUAUUUUGAAUUGAGUAAAUUCA